AAUGGCCGAAAAUCUAAGGUUUCCGGGGGUAGGUUCGUCCGCCCCGGGUAAGCCGGGAGCUAAGGCGAGGCCGAAAGGCGUAGUCGAUGCACACACGGUUGAGAUUCCGUGGCCGCUAAAUAACUUAAGUACACUGACACGAAUGCAAAGUUCGACCGGCAGCUGGUGUCCGGAUCCGCAAGGAGCACUGAAAUUCAAUUAGGGAAAAGAAUGGAGCAGGCGGCGAGAAAAGGUGUAUGUAUGUUAUAGGCGCCCGUACCGCAAACCGACACAGGUAGAUGAGGAGAGAAUCCUAAGGCCAACGGGAGAAGGGUUGUUAAGGAACUCGGCAUAUUGACCCCGUAACUUCGGAAGAAGGGGUGCCUGCGCAAGCAGGCCGCAGUGAAAAGGCCCAGGCAACUGUUUAACAGAAACACAGGUCUCUGCAAAACCGUAAGGUGAAGUAUAGGGGCUGACGCCUGCCCGGUGCUGGAAGGUCAAGGGGAAUGCUUAGCGCAAGCGAAGGCAUGAACUUAAGCCCCAGUAAACGGCGGCCGUAACAAUAACGGUCCUAAGGUAGCGAAAUUCCUUGUCAGGUAAGUUCUGACCCGCACGAAUGGCGUAAUGAUCUGGGCACUGUCUCAACAGCCCGCCCGGCGAAAUUGUAGUACCGGUGAAGAUGCCGGUUACCCGCGACUAGACGGAAAGACCCCAUGGAGCUUUACUGUAGUUUGAUACUGAAUUUCGGUUUAUUAUGUACAGGAUAGGUGGGAGACAUGGAAACAGAGUCGUCAGGCUUUGCGGAGUCGCCCUUGGGAUACCACUCUUGAUGAACCGGGAUUCUAACCUGCACCCGUGAAUCCGGGUGGGGGACAAUGUCAGAUGGGCAGUUUGACUGGGGCGGUCGCCUCCAAAAGAGUAACGGAGGCGUACAAAGGUUGGCUCAGCGCGGACGGAAAUCGCGCAGUGAGUAUAAGAGUAUAAGCCAGCCUAACUGCGAGACCUACAAGUCGAGCAGUAACGAAAGUUGGUUCUAGUGAUCAGGUGGUAGUGUGUGGAAAUGCCAUCGCUUAACGGAUAAAAGCUACCCUGGGGAUAACAGGCUGAUCUCCCCCAAGAGUUCACAUCGACGGGGAGGUUUGGCACCUUGAUGUCGGCUCAUCACAUCCUGGGGCUGGAGAAGGUCCCAAGGGUUCGGCUGUCCGCCGAUUAAAGUGGUACGCGAGCUGGGUUCAGAACGUCGUGAGACAGUUCGGUCCCUAUCUGUCGUGGGCGUUGGAUAUUUGAGAAGGGCUGACCUUAGUACGAGAGGACCGGGUCGGACGCACCUCCGGUGUACCAGUUGUUCUGCCAAGAGCAUAGCUGGGUAGCCGCGUGCGGUUUUGAUAAACGCUGAAGGCAUCUAAGCGUGAAACAUACUUCAAGAUCAGAUAUCCUCCUGACUUGAUCAGGUAAGGUCACUUGCAGACUACAAGUUUGAUAGGUCGGAGGUGUAAGUGCAGUAAUGCAUUCAGCUGACCGAUACUAAUAGACCGAGUGCUUGAACG
rnacentral:rRNA from 1 species